GGCCCCGCAAGAGCCGCCGGCUUCGUGCUCCCCGCAGCGAACCGUACGGGAGAUCGCUCGGCAGCGGGCCCUCCUCCCGGGUGGGAUGCCCGGGAUGCCCGGGUGGGAUGUCAGGAAGCAAACUGGUCUGAUUGCUCUGGGUAGAAGUCGCUUCCCUGCCUGCUGCUUCCAGGACUGCUGACUUCUGUGGAAGGCAUGGAUGUACCUCUAGCAUCCCAAAAACCCUGCAAGUGCUGCACAAAGAGUGGUGCUAUGAGGUGAAUUUUCGGGUGGCCUGUGGAAUGUGCUUGGCACACAAAUGUCUUUCUCGUGGAGACAGGGAGGGAUCUGCUGAGACAUCUUGUUGCGUUAGAGGAUGCUCAGAUAUCUCAGGAGGAGCCCUCAGCCUGCUCCAUGGCUGUGGUGAUGGCGACUCCGUGGGUAAUUUAAAAAAAUAUACAGAGAAACAGUUUCCUUUUACCACAGAAACAAUAUUUCAGCACUGGCUGUCAGAAAGCCCUGAGCGCUGAGGAUGUGCAGCGCGCUCCAUGGAUGCUGGGUUGGAUUUUCAGCCUACCUAAACUGUCCCGGGUGUUUCCUGGCAUGGGAGCUGUGUGUCCAGGUUGGCACCACCACGCUGCCCCAUGGCAGGCUGCUGCUUUGGCAACCCCUCUCUCUUGAUUUCUCUUUUUAUGCUCAAGUCAAAUGACAUGAAACAACCUAACCUGUGGCCUGUUGCUGUCACCAGCAGGUGUCCUGAUGGAUGAACCAUGCUUUAUCCCUGUCCUAGAACUGGGAAGUGCAGGAGGAGUUGUGUUUGUGCCCUGGAGGCACAUGGCCCUCUGCCUCUGACUGGGGUGCAGUGAAAAUUGCUGGUGCUGAGGAUGCUGGCCAGAAGCAGAGGUUAUUUUUCCUCCCCAGCACAUGCCAGUGGUACCUUUUCAGGAGUGGGUGCACUCCAAGUGGAUACCAACAAUCCUGUGAACAACCUGCCAGUGUCGGUGCUUUGGUGGGAUGAUGUUUUGUGAGGUUCUGCUUGCCCAGCACCUUUCGGUGUUGGAAGUCACAGCCACUACCUAAUGCUCUGAUUUUGUGCCUGAAUUUGGCUUGAAUAAGGCAUUUGCUUACUGAAGUAAACAAAACAAAGGAAAAAGAAGUCUUUUCUUCCCAAAGAUAGUUAUCUUUUCCCAAAAGUUAUCUUUUCUUCCCAAAAGAUAACAUUUUCAAGUGGGAGCUCUACCACAGCAGCCCAUCCUGGGGACCCACAGGAACUUAAAUUGGUCUGCCCAAUGCUAAAACAAGAUCAUGUGGCCAAGGCAAUCUUGGGAUGGCUGCUGAAUGAAGCAAGGUGUAAAGUAGGAUGGACCAGGGUGAUGGAUAAGUGCAGGAGCCAGGGGAGUCUCCCCACACAUUGUCCAGGUUUGGCCUUGUCCAGGCCAAAGACUGGAUUGGGAUCUUGCAGGGAGCUCCUGGUCCCAUGCUGCCCAUCCUGGCUGUUGCAGUGCUAUCAGUGGCUCCCAUAUGGUUAUCAGGCUGCACACUGCACUGCCUCUGUGGCUUCUGCUGAAACCCAUCCCAGACCUCUCUGCUCUGAAAAUCAGAAAUCUUUUCAUCUCCAGCCCCACAACUCUCAGUUUAGGGAUUUCACAAGAUUUUCUAAUGGCUUUUCUUCUUCCAUGUAUCUCUCAGUAGCAAUUAUACCCCCUUCAGCCCUGUUGUGAUAGCCUAAAUAAGACCAAAUUUAGGUAGCUUCCUCUCAUAAGAUAAUCCUCCUUUCUUUGACUGUUGUAGUCAUUUUACACACCAGUUUCAGUUCCUUGGAAAGACAAGGGAAAAGGUUUUCAGAGUUGUGGCUGGGAUUUCAGGCUUAAGAUCAAUGGGCCUUUUGUUUUGAAAUCCAAUUCAGUGGGCUUUUAUGAACAUAUCUGAUCAUUACUGUGAGCAUCUCAAAAAGUUUGGAGUCCCAGCUACGAAACAACGCCGCUGAUUCCAAGAACUUGUACAAAUAUUUAUAAUCAACAGGAGGCAAGCUAAGAGCCAUUCAAACAAGAGAUAAGAUUAGUAGCUGAAGUGGCUGGGCUGCAAUUGUUAUUGUGCAAGUCAAAGAAAAGGCUGUCACACAUGGAGGAUAUUGCCAAGCAAGUCAUUCUUCGCCGAGUCAUUCUUCUCUCAUCUUCUGUCUGAAUUCUCCUGCAGUUUUCCCAGACCUACUCAGGCUACUGGGUUAGGAGGUGAGUGAGUUUAGACUUUUUUCCAAGUUGUGUCAGAUAUUUCCCUUGGUCCCGCUCUUGUCCAGCACCCCUACCGUGGAAAAGGGGAAAAGGGAAGUUCAGAGAACUUCCUGUGCCGUGAUGGGAGUUGGAGCACUGAAGCAACUGAAGCCAGGUUGCUGUUGCCAUCUCUCAGAUGCAGAGCACUCAGGAGGCUUUUACAGCCACGGGGGGAUCUCUGAGGCUGGCUGAAGGCUCAGACCAGCCCCUGGACAGGAAGGUGUAACAGGAUGGUGAAAGCUCUCUGCUCUCCAUCUGGAUCCUCCUCGGAGUGUGCCUUUGGAGAGAGGAGUUCAGUGUGGCUCAUCCACUGCUGUGAGGCGUUGGUUACCCUGUGAACAAGCCCCAUCGUGUGCAGCAAACAAGAAACCGGCACACAACAUAUGAAAGUCAUUUAGGAAGAUGGAAAUGAUGAGCGGUGCACACAAUAGCGUUGCUAUUAGGAUCUGUCGAUCCUAAUUAAAAAAAUACUUCCCAAUGAAAAUUAUUUAUAAAAAGAAAUCACAGUGACCCUAAAUCAAAUUAUUUGUGAAUGGUUUUUAGUCUCCCAGAUCAGUUAAAACUCCUGUGUUAGUCACUGGACAUCAUCCAAGCUACAUGCUGAAUGAAUAACAUCCCUGCCAAAUUUCAUUUUUUUUCACCCUCACCAAGUUUGGCACAGGACAGUUAAAGUCAUUUUUCUAAAUAUCUUUCAGAACAUCAAGCGACUGUAAAAUAACAAUGGGAAAGCUUGGCCACAGCCAACUGCAGCCCUCCAGUUGGAACCGCUUCUCUCCAAGAAAGCAGCUCCACUUCCUUUGAUGAUCUGUUUUGGGGGAGCACUGAGGCAAGGAUUCCUCCAUGGGGGUACUGGAGGGUCACUGCCCCAGGGGCAACCCUGCCAAGGAGCCUGGCUUCCAGCUGUUCCAGCGUGGGGCACAGCUGGAUCCAGACUGGCCCUGGGUACAGGGUUUGUGUCUUUUUGGCCACCUGCUAGAGGGUGACAUCCCGAGGACAAACCAGCCAUUCCUUGUCCACAGUGGCAGUUUCCAUGGUGAGCUGUAACGACGCCUCUUCUGCUCACUCUUCAGAAACAAAAAACAAACAAAAAAGAAAGAAAGAAAUAAGGAAUCAAUGACUGCACAAUGGCAGAACAAGUUCUUGCUGCUUGUGUCUGCAAAGAUAAAGGGCUAAUUCUUCUAAGCACUCUGUGAUGUCCUAUCCAAGUGAAUUAAGUUUGGGAUUGUUUUCAUGAUGGCUUGUUCCAACUCCAGUGUGCUUUCUCUCCUUUGACUGGCCUGCAAGUCCCCCACUGCCCUUUUCUCAGCUGGCUUCCCCCUCAUUUGCUCUUUCUGACCAUGGAGGUGCCAUCACCUGCAGAAGGUUAGGAGCUUCCCCAGCUCUUGGUUCUCAGAGACCCUAAGAGGCAAGCAUGGUUCUCCAGCUCCCCACAUAAUCCAGGAAGUGCUGGCUGCUCUUCUGUUGAAAGCUAGCAAUAAAUGGCCACCAAAUUCCAAUCUUGCUGGUUUCAGUGAGACUAAUUUAUAAACCCAGGGGUCUCUGCUCCUUGUCUCCUAAGGUGGAGUAAGGAUUGGAGCCCAGCAUUAUGUGCAGCAGUUAGCAAAGGCUGUGUCACCUGUGUAUGUGACUGACUGUUUCCCAAUAUCCAGGUGGCUUUUUUGCCUCCAGUUGAACUGGUGUGAUACCUGGGUGGGCCUCCUCCUUCCCUUCCCUCUUCCCAUGCCCAUGGCAUUGGCUGGGAAGGUGCUCUGUCCACAGGGAUGUCCAGGAAGGUGGGCAUAGCUGACUCACAGGCACAGCUGCUCUGGCUCCUGUGACCAGCUGGUUCAUCCUUUUAUUAAGAUGUCAGCACCUCCUGUGUUUUUGCUGUUUGAUUCCUCUUGUUUCCCUGCUGCCUUGCUGCUGUCUCCAGAGCUGUGCCCAGAUGGUCCUGUUGUUCCUCCAGCCAUGACUGCUGGUUCUGGACUUGCACAGCCAUGCAGCAAGGCAGCUGACACCCUCUCUGCUCUUGCUUUUCCUUCUGGGCUUAUGGACAUGCUGGGGGUUGUGAAUCCAUGCCCUCAAAGCACGUUUUUGGGAAGUGUGCUUUAGAAAGCACUGGCUGGCUUUGCCUGAUAGAGGUGUGUCCCCCUCCCGUGCCACAAUGCCUGCUUUAUCCUGCCACUCAUUUGCAGCCCCUAAAGCUGUUGGAUCACACCAGGUGGGGUCCCUAAUGUGUCCAGGAGCAGUCCAGCUGGUGCAGGGUCCCAGAGGAGAAAAGGGUGGGAGAAGGCGGAGAGAAGCUUUGGUUCCAGAGACUCCCAGGUAUGAUUGUGACUCGGAUCUCCACACCUCCUCCUCCAGCCAGGGGACAUUUCUGGCUAUUUGUAACUUCUGGUUUUGAGGUUAAUACUCCAGCCCCUCCCCAGUGCAGCUUUUUGCAGGCUGUGAUUCUUUCUCAGAUUACUUUAAACUCCCUUUCCUUAAAAAGUAUGUGAGGAUGUUGGACUCAAUCUUUUACAAUCUGUUCCCAGGGAGCAAGGUUGCUCAUAGAGCUGGGGUGAAAUGGGCUGACUACUUCCAUGUGGGGCCAAAGAAACCCCAAACAUCUGCGAGGAUGAGAAGGAAGAUACAGAACAAAUCAGUUCUGAAAUGAGAUUUAGAACAAAACACAGUUUACCAGUUUUGCACUCAAGAAAAUGAUGCUUUGACUUUUUCUUUUCCCCAGAAGUUUUUCACUGAAGAUGCUGACCUGACUGUUGCCACUGGGACAGGAUGUAUCUAAUCCUCAGCUCUCAGAUGAGCUGGCUGCUGCCAGCAUGACACAGAGCUGUAGUUUGACCCCAAAUGGCAGCUCAGCACCAUCAUCCACUCACUCACUCCCCUCUGAUGGGGUGGGAGAGAGAAUGAGAAGGAGGAAAGUGAGAAAAACUGGCAGCUGAGAUAAAGACAGUUAGGGAAAGCAAAACUACAUGCACCAGCAAAGCAAAGCAAGCAAUCUGUUCCCCACCUGCCAUCGCAGGCACCCCCAGCACAGCAGAGCUGGGGUAUCCCUUGGGUCAGUGGGGGUCAGCUGUCCUGGCUGUGUCCCCUCCCAGCUCCUUGUGCACCCCCAGCUGCUCACUGGUGGGGUGAUUUGAGAAGCAGAAAAGGCCUUGGUUCUGUGUAAGCCAUGCUCAGCAAUAACAAAAACAUCUCUAUGUUAUCAGCCAUGUUUUCAGCACAAAUCCAAAGCACAGCCCCAUAGCAGCUACUGGGAAGAAAAUUAACUCCACCCCAGCCACAACCAGCACACAGAAUCCCAGCUCCUCAUCCUCUGUGGUGUUUGGUUUACAUGACUCUGAAAGGAAAACGCUCCCAAAACUCACACAAGGAAGAGCAAACUCGAGCUGUGCAGUACAGAGAAGGGCUCAGAUCCAUUUCUGGAUUGCAAGUAGCUGAUGUUCCUGUGGUGGAACCUCUUGCUGCAUCCAGGUAAUUGUCUCCCUGGACCCUGCACCCAACUAGUGAUUUUAGUGCCUCUGGUUUUGAAUCCUCUUUUCCUGUGGUGGUAAGCAGCAGCCACAAGGCUAAUGGGUGUAUUCAAGACUUGUUCUAGCAGUGUUAAGCUCAUUGCAGAAGCUCAGGAGCUGCCUUUUGGCUCCUGGGGGCAAAUGUGUGUGUGUGUGUGAGUGAAUGCAGCCCUGCAGGCACAGCUGAUACCUAAAGCAGUAAUUUCAAGGUUGCUGCAUAAACCCAGGAAUAGACUAAUACCUACCUGGAGGAGAGCAGAGGCAUUGGAACUUAAUUUAAACUCUUCCAACUCCCCUCCCUCCCAAUUCUAAGAUAAAUGGACAAAAACAUGCUCUGGAAGCUCUUGUGGAGCCCAGCCAGAGAUGAGCAGGAAGGAGCCAAAGGCAUUUCCACAGCUUGUCUUGCUGUGCUGGAGGCUUGGAGAGGUGUUUAUAAACACCUUUUCUGCUCACAGUGCUCUUGGCCCCUCUCUGGCUCAUGGCCAGGCAUGACCCUGGUCCAAGCUUGUUUUGAAGUGUUUCAUCCCCUGUGCUUUGCAGAGCUGCUUUGGUGCUGAGGCUGAGCAGGGAUUUGCCCUGGGAGCAGGUCCAUGCUCUCCAGGGAGGGUGUGAGCUGCUGUGCAAAUCCAGGAGACAGGAAUUGUCCCCUUCCAAGCUAUUCCUGGGAGGGCUCUGAGUUCCACACUGGCCCUGUGCUUGGUCUUGCUCUGCCUGGGACAGGUGAUGUGUCCCUUGAGGUUGAUCUUUCUCCAGCAGGCUGGGCCCUGUGGGGCAUGGAUCCCACAGCCCUGUGGGUGGGCACAGAUCCAAGCAGGGCACCUGCUGCUCUACCCAGUGCUGCUGGAGCUGGUGCUGAUGCUGGUUGGCAGUCACAUCAUCAGGAGAGGACUCUGGUUGGAUCCCUGGGAUGAAAACACUUGGUUGGCUGUAAACAAAUCUAUUGACACAGAUACUUCUCAGCCUGGCCUGUGGGAGCUUUGGUCCAGAAGAAUUUAUAGCUUGUAACUUCUAAACUCCUCACUGUGCAAACAUGAGGAUAACCAAGGCAUCUCAUCUCACCACAGCAGCUGGCUGUGGUGGCAAAACCUGUUUAAAGGAGAUACAAGAUGAUCUCAGAGUAUGAUUUCAUGGAGUGAGGGAUGAGUGUUUGAAUCCAUCCUUCAAGUAUCGCAGCCCUGCCCUGUCCUUCUGUGGCCCAGCCAGGUGUCCUGCCCCACACUUGGGAGGAGGCAUCUGCCAGAGCACGGUCUCUGCCUUUUCCAGGAGGAUAAAGCUGUUCUUUACCCCACUCCAGUGCCUUUCCUGGUGGGAAGUCGCAGCUGUCCUUCGAGGAGGAUGAAGGUCUCAGCUGUGCUGACACAUGGAGGUCUGGCCAGCUUUGCAGUUCUCCUGGGAGAGCUGUGGGGGGCUGCCACAGCUGGGAGGGAGGUGUGAUACCUCCCUCUAAAGGUCCAUAGCUUUGUGGACCUCGAGGAAGAGAAAAGCCAACUUGCCUUCUCAUUUUAAGCUUUACCAAGUAGAAAAGGGCUGUGGUGAAGGAUUAUCUAAGGCAGCAGAGUUGCUUGUCAUUCACAAGGUGAUGGGGUUGAUUCCUACCAGCCCUGAGGUGAUGAGAGGCACAGCUCACAGCUGCAGAGUCCUGUGAGCCUGACCUGGCUGCUGGGACAAGGAAGAGUCAGGCACUCUUCCUUUUCUGUGAGUGACUUCCCAUGGUCAUCAGUAAGAAAUGUUGUACUGUAGCAGGGGAAUGUCUCAAAGUAUCAAAGGUUUUUUAGUAAUUAUUUGUAACGAUUUAACAUUUGCCUAUAUCUCUUUCAGAGCUGUUCUGGGGGUAAUUUCUGGAGCAUCAUUAUGGCUCUGGGUGGGAUUCCUUUCUGUCCUGUUAAGACCUGUGUGGGAUUUGAAAACCUGGGAUUCCUGCUUUCUGUGGCUUAUCUGGAGACUGCCAGCUCAAAAAAGUUGUCCCAUAACUCAUCCCAGUGUUUUGCAUUUUGCUGAAGAGGUGUUUAAUUGAAAACCUCUUAGUCCAUAAGCCAGACCCUUACCACAGAGGCAACAUCUUUUUACUUUUCCCUCAAAGAUACCAUGAGUAAAAUGAAGGUUCUGAAUUUUUCCAUGCUCUGGUUUCUCACAGGGCAAACUGGCUGCAGAGUCCACUCUGGCUUGGUGUCAGAGGGGUAGAAGCUUCACUUUUGUGAGGAAAUUCCUUGCUCUGCUUUUAGACCCAUAGGUCCCAGCUCGGGCUGUGCAAUAGCCCUGCAGGAGACUGAAGGAGCACAGCAGUCACACCAGGAGGAGGAGAAAACCUUGGGUCCCCUAAAUCCUGCUGCUGUGGAGAGCAGGAAUUGCCUGGUGCCAAUACACAAUGCACCCAGCACAGCAAGAAGUCCUUCUCCCUCCCCAGGGACCAUUAGGGGAGUUUCAGCCUCUCACAGUGUCUAGAUAGAGGAGCUGGUUUGAGGAUAUUGCUUAUGGGAAUAUUUUGGGAACUCAUUAUAAGAGAAUUAGAGACCAGCCCUGGCGUGAUUGAGAUAACGUGGUAUGUAAGUGUGCAGGAAACAUGAAAAUCCUCUCAAUAAUUAAAUUCAAUUAAUUGUUUUACAGCUGCUCAGCAAAUACCAUGAGGUUCAGGUGGGGAGAUGCACUGCUGGGAUUCCACAAGGUCUGGAUGGAGCAGGUAAUAGACUGUGAUGUGUGGAGCACCUGGUUUGUGUUGGAGAGGAAAACUAUUUAUAAACCAGAAGCAUUAGCAAACUGGCUUUGCUGGAGACCUGUGGGACAGUCUGCAGCCAGCACAGCGUCACAGACCCUUGUUCUGGGGAAAGCAGUGCAGGGGGCUGGGAAGGAAAGAGGCUCUGGCACCUGUGAGAGGGGGUUAAUUCUGCAUCUCAGUAUGGAAGGCCUGACAGCAAAUGGCAUCAUAAAACAGCUGCCUUAAUAAGAGAAUUAAAAGAAGGAUCUAUAAUAGCUUGAGGAACCAAAAAGGAAGAACUUCUCUCCAGGGAAGGGAUAUGUGCAGCACUGGGGAAAAUCCAUUCUGGGUCCAUCCCACGCUGCACGAAUGCAGGGUGCUCUGCAUCUGAAGGGGUACGAGGCUUACUUGCCCUUGAUAUUUCUCUUUUUACUCUGCCUUGUUAAAACAGAUAUUUCAUGAAGCCUUUUGCUGUUGGGCAUUUCUCACUGAGACUGGGGAGUACCCCACACCACCUCCUCCCCCACUCAGUCCAGGGAGUGUCCCCAAGGAAAUGGGUGUGCACAGGGCUUGUUGGGGGAUCAGGGACAGACUUCCCUCUCCUGCUGCCUCCCUGGCCAUCCCCAGCCUGAGGAAACAAGAGGGGUGUGCCAGACCCCUGCUCUGAAGUGCCUCACUCAGGUCCCCAUUGCUUCCCUGCAUGAAGCAGUGGCUCCUGGAAGGGGAACAGACAGUGGUGUGUGUUGUGCCAUGGGCAGCCAGCAUUAUCCCACUAGCUGGGGGCUCAGAAACAGCCAUGCCAGACUGGUUAGAGCUCACAGGUCCCAGAGCCUCAGGGUCCUGGAAGGGGCAGUGGGAUGGGAGCCCUGGAAUGCUGCUGGUGGUGCCUGCUUGCACCAUGACUGUUGUCAGCACUAGGUCAGGGUGGCCACAGCCUCAUCAACCCCAAACAAUGAAGGGCCCCUGUCCCCAUGCUGUGUGCUCUCCUAUGGAUACACCACCUCCUGGGAAAGAAAGAUCACCUGGAUAUUCACCCUCAGCCUCCCAAGCUGCACUACAGAGCCACUGACCUGUGUGACAUGCCCCACCGAGGGGACUUUGGCUCUGUUGCCUUUGUAUCUGCCCUCCAGGUAGUUUUUAGCCAUUAACUCAGCCCUAAACUUCCUCUCAGACAGACUAAACUAGACCACCUCCCAUCAUCCCUCCUUUUAGUGCCUCUGUCCCUGCCCCAAUGAGUCUGUGUUUGUGAUCCAGCCUUCAGGAGAGGAGAGAGAGGCAGGAGCAGCACCCCUGGGUCCCCCUGGAGCAGGUAGGGCAGGUGAUGUCAGUGCCUCUGAAGCCUCUGUCUUGCCAGAGCUGGCCUGGCAUCCUUCCCAGGGGAUGAAUUUUGGCUGAGGAAAUACAAAUUGCUGUCCCUGGCUCUGCAGGGUUAAUUUCAGUGCAGAUGCAUGUGGUGCUGCCUGUGUCCUCAGCUCCAGCCAGGACGUGCACAGCAAAGGGCUGAGGAGGGAGCUGCAGACCGGGAAAGCAGCACCCAAGUGGCCUUGGGUGUGUUGGGAGAGCCCUGAAGUGCCCGGGGAGGGAGGAUCCAGCACGUGCACGUGUGUGCCCACGGAUCACACGAGUGAGAUGCAGCAGAUGAGCUGCCUCGCUCUAUUUGUAACCUCCCACUGCUGUUGCACAGGCUCUGCAAGGAGGAGAAGGAGCUGAAAAUUGAGCUGAAAAUGGAAACUUGAGGCUCAGAUGCUUGGAGGGGCUCAGGAGCCCGACUGAACCCAUCACUCCCCAGGGAAGCAGGAGCUUCUGUUCCUCCUGGGCCCAGUGCCUUGCUCUCAUGCUCAGCACAGAGUGAGACAUUCAUGCUCCACCUUGGAGCAAAAGUCAUUUUCAUUAACUUAUUCAGGAAAGGAGACAUAAAGACACAAUUUAAUUGCAAACCACAAGAUUACAGUGUGAGAUGAAAUGAGGGAAGAAUGAGGGGGGAAAAGGAAGAACAACUUGGUCUUAUUUUUUAAUUUGCAUCCAUUUAGCUGGCUGAAGGAGAGCUGGGUGAGGACAUGGCAGUGCCAUGGUGUGCCCUGCUGGAUGGGAUCCAGCCUCGCUCUCUGGGCAUCACAGCUGGGAUGUUGCAUUGAAGAUCUGGCUGGUUUGGGCAGUCCCAGUGGCUGCAGCCUGGCCACUGAUGGGUGCAGGAUGAGAGCCUGGUGUGCAGGGAGCCAUGGACAUCAGUCUUGUGUCCAGGCCCAGUCUGUGGAUUUCCUGCCUGGAUUCAGCACCUGCUGCUCUGGGUGUUGCUUUUGGAGAUGCAGGAUGUUCUUGGGAAAGUGCAUGGUAACAGGGGAGCACAAGGAGAGCAAACUGGGCUCCUCCUCAGCCCCUUACACACAGCAGCCUGGAAAACCCACCCCUCCCCUGAUCCCAGCUCUCCUUGCAAAGGGCAAGAUGGAGAGGUGAGGGAUGGGGCUCCAGAACCCCUCCAAUCCUCCAGCAUUGUGCUGAAACUGCUAAUUAAAGAGCCCAUUUCACCAAACGAUUUUUUUUCCGAUAUGAAAACUUUUCCAUAAGGAACCAGUCCCGAAUCCACCAACUCAUUUCACAUUUAUUUUAAAUCUAAGCUUUAUAUCAUGUAGUUUCCUCCAGGGCUUGAUUAUCUUCUCAGUAAAAGCUCUGUUGUUCUGGUUUGUGGGACCUAUAUUUAGCCUUGCCGUAAGGUCUGUGCACCUCUCAGUACAGGACUCAGACGCUGCCACCCGAGCUCCUGGGUUUCCUAUUUAUUUGGAUCUAUUAAACAAGUUACCAUUUCUGUAAUAUCAAGGGCAUUUUUCCAGCCACAGGCUGCCUACAAGCAGUAACUUGUUGCUGCAGAAAUGGUCUCCUGGAUCUCAGAAGUAAUUUGGAGAGGGUCUCUUGUCUAACAAUGGCAAAUUAUAUUUAAACAGGGAAUCAAGGGCAAAGCCAGCCGAAGAGCCUUGUCCCUCUCUUUUAUUGUGGCGGUACCUCAAGUCCUCAUUCCCCAUGUUUCCUACACAUGUAAUAAGGCAUACACCCACUCAGCAUAUUUUUACAUAAAAAUAUACAAAACAGGCAAAAGUGGGUGGGGACUUUGCCUACGGAGGGAAUUCAGAGGUGCACAGACAUACCUGAUGCCCUGGUGUGGCUGCAAUUGUUAUUUGAUACACAGGGGGGUGUAAGGAGGUUGUGUGGAGAGAAGGGAGAGACAGAGAGGGAAACAUCAGAGUGGCUGGCAGCGAAAUCCAGUCCAGGGAGAACCUCUGGGAUGGAGGGGUCUCUCACUGGAGGGCUGGAAGCUGGGAUACACCAUCCUGUGGGGAGCAUCGCUCCCACUGGUGCCAUUUUUCACCCUGUCAUCUUUCUGGUGACACAUCUCAGCGCCUGGGCACCGCUGUCCAUCUGGAGGACACGAAGAGCUGCCUGGCUGAUCAUCAGCUCCCUGCCAGUCCCACCAGAGGAAUCCUCUGGCUCCGGGCAGUGGUGCCCUGCAGAGGCUCCCCUGUGUCCUCCACCCUGAGUGAAGCCCUGCUGGAGCUGGAGCUGCUGAGGAAUGUGUUGGAUGCUGUCUGUAUCCAAGGAACGGAGCGUGUGAGGCGCGGCGAGCCAAGGCACGCGAUCGGAAUGAUCAACGGGCAAAAUCUGGGUGCUGAGGCACGGGCUGGAACAUCUGAUUGGAAGGCUGGGAGGAAAAAGGGAAGGCUGAAUUGUUUAUGGUUUGUUUUUCAUUCAUCAUUCCUGCUUGUGUGGGUGGACAAGGAGUGAACGAGUUUCUCGGGGAGGGCAGCAAAUAAAAGAGGCACACAUUUCCUUGAAGGAUGAGUAGAAUUUUUCCUUCCUACUGCCUAGGUGAAUAUGUCAGGGGAAAGGGGCUGGAGGGAACCCUAACAGCUUCUCUCCCAGAUGGAGGAAACCACUUGCUCUUGAUAUUUUCCCUUUGAUCACCAUGUACCAAGAGAUAAAGGUUUUUUUGGGGUGGGUUCCAUCAUAAUAAAGUCGUGCUUUUUCUCCCUACA